GUGUCAGCCGCCGCGGUAAUACGUAGGGAGCAAGCGUUGUCCGGAAUCAUUGGGCGUAAAGCGCGCGUAGGUGGCCCAGUAAGUCCGUUCUGAAAGUCACAGGCUCAACCUGUGAAAGCGGAUGGAUACUGCUGGGCUAGAGUCCGGAAGAGGCGAGUGGAAUUCCUGGUGUAGCGGUGGAAUGCGCAGAUAUCAGGAGGAACACCAACGGCGAAGGCAGCUCGCUGGGACGGUACUGACACUGAGGCGCGAAAGCGUGGGGAGCGAACAGGAUUAGAAACCCUGGUAGUCC
rnacentral:rRNA from 1 species